GGGGAAUAUUGCACAAUGGGCGCAAGCCUGAUGCAGCAACGCCGCGUGAGGGACGACGGCCUUCGGGUUGUAAACCUCUUUUAGUAGGGAAGAAGCGAAAGUGACGGUACCUGCAGAAAAAGCACCGGCUAACUACGUGCCAGCAGCCGCGGUAAUACGUAGGGUGCAAGCGUUGUCCGGAAUCAUUGGGCGUAAAGAGCUCGUAGGCGGUUUGUCACGUCUGCUGUGAAAUCCCGAGGCUCAACCUCGGGCCUGCAGUGGGUACGGGCAGACUAGAGUGCGGUAGGGGAGAUUGGAAUUCCUGGUGUAGCGGUGGAAUGCGCAGAUAUCAGGAGGAACACCGAUGGCGAAGGCAGAUCUCUGGGCCGUAACUGACGCUGAGGAGCGAAAGCAUGGGGAGCGAAC
rnacentral:rRNA from 1 species